CAAACCAUCUCACCCAUCCUGGGUUUGGGAGGGGGAGCCCUCCAUCCUCGUCUCACGGAGAUUCCAUCGUCGAGGAGGGGAAGUGGGGAUCUGGCCAGUCACCUGAGGAGCAAAGGCUGUAACCUGAGACUCAGACUGGUGGUUUCUGAACCCUUAGCUCAUCAGUACCAUGCCGAGGAGUGAAAACUGACUGAUCUAGUCCCAGGAAAUUGGGACCUAGCUCCCCAGAUGACUCUGAUGCCUUCUGCCCAGGCAGGUGUGUGAGCAGCUUUGCUGGAGACUUGAUUUCCAUCCCUGGCCCCUCGGAGGGGCCUGCCCGGCCUCUGCCCUCCUGGUCAGCUGUAGACUUCUCCCUGGCCCCCCGUAGACACUCCUGGGGUGCUGCACCUUCCCCACCUCACAGGAAGGGCUUUACACUCAGCUUGAGUCAAUGUACAUAUUGGGUGGGGGGGUGGGAAGCACUUGGGGGAGGGAGGAAGGCCAUGCUAUUCCCAGCGCCCCCCCCCCGACCCCAGCAACAGGACAGGCAGGGCUCUAUGUCCCUCCCACAUGGCAUACUUGGAAGGGGCCUGAUAUUGUUGGGAAAAGCCCCCACUCAGAGUCUUGGACGCCCUCCCUUAGGUGUGCCCCAGUGUUGGGGGUGGGGGGUGGGGGGAGGCGGAAGGAGGCCUGGCUGGGGCCACAGGGGCCCAUCACCCCUCCUCCCCUGACUUCCUGCCUUCUUGCUCCUGGGGAUGCCAGCUCAUAAACAGGCCCCACCGGGAAUGGGGGUCUCCAGGGGCAGGGCCAGCCACUGCCUACUCUGUGUGAGUCACAAACGGACCUUGUGUCAUGCUGGGAUUCCUUCCUGGCUAAUGAUGGCUCAGCGGCCAGGCUUCCCACUCACUUAGCUCUUCCAUGGAAGCAGACCCGGACGACGGGGUGGAACCAGAGUCCGCCUUCUCCACCAACAGUAACGACACCGAGUAAUAGAGCAGCAGUGGCCACUGAAGACCCCCGCGCCCGGCUCCAUGGCCCCUGGCCCCAGUUUACACGUGAGGAAAUACAUUUAUCCGGGCAGUGACGACUUGCCCCAGCUCACAGGAGGUGCACUGCGGCUGAGGGAGUGGACAGAGGGUCUCCCUUGGGCCACACCAGUCAGGCUCCUCCGAGUUGUUUUCUAACCAAACCUCGUUCUUGGGAAUGUCCCCAAGCGCCCAAUUUUAGCAAGAACCACCCCCUGAUAUCUUUGAUAGCUGAUUACCUUUGUAGUGUCAUGGCAAAGGGUUUCCAGAGAGGGCCUGACGGAAUGGAAGAAGGGGAUGAGCAUCCUCUUUCUUUUCUCUCUUCCACUGAGCCACCCGGUUAUCCAGUGACAGUGCUCAGAGGCCCUGGUUCAAAUCUUACCACCCCCCGGGACUCUCGCAUUGGAGGAUUUGGACGAGUCGAGUCAAAGCCAAGAAGGUGAAUGGGAUCUACGUGGACAUAUGAGGUUGGAUCUCAAGGACACUGGGGAGUCAACGCACGUGAGCGGCAGAAUGGUGAGUGUCCGCACUAAGCAUGCGAGCCACCCCCCAGACACCACCCCAACUUUGCAGUGGGCACAUGCAUCUGUCAAGGUGGGACCCAUGCCCAGCUCAUGGUUGGGGAAGGGACCUGGCUUGUCAAAGAUCCCUGGAUAGGACCCCAAAAGUGGAACAGCUGAAAAGCACUGGCUUGCAUUUCUGUUUCUUCUAUCCAGAAGCCCUGUGCUACCAAGACCCCUACAACUGGCUCAAUGGUGUACGAGGCUGAUGGGGAGCAAGGAGGAACCAUCCCCUUCUCCCUCAGCAUCUAAGCCACAAGUAGGACCCAGGUCCAGGACAUCUACCGGGUGGCCCUGGACCAGCAGCAGCUGGCCCUCAAAGACCAUGCCCGUUGACAGAGGAUUUCAACCACCUUCAUCUCAACCCCAGUCCACACUUCCUCAUUGACUACGUUCUUCUUUCCAGCUUAUCUGUUAACUCAGGCAAAAGACCCUGCGGGCAAAGCAACCCGUGAUGAGAACCGAAGCUAUCCCCUCAAGCAGUAAGGACUGCCCUGAAUUCGGCAAGACCCCACGUGACUGACCCCAAGACAAUGCUCCACCUGACCUUCACUGCCCACCUGCAGGCCCCCACCGACCUUUGUCCCACACGUUCCUUCUAUAAACCUGCAAGUACUUUUAGCAGUUUGGAGACCGUCUUUGAGACGCUAGGCUGCUGUUCUCCCGGUGGUGGCCUCGCUGAAGUAGAUCCCUUUCUUGUCUCACCAUCUCUCGUCUCUCUGCCUUUGGAUUUUAUCAGCGCUGAGUAGCUGAACCUGGUCUGUUUGGGAACCCCCUGCACCCCAGUUACACCAUCUGAGAGAGGGGCCAAGAAUCCUGCUUUCCCUAUGCCAGCACAGUAUCCUCAAGGUCUGGGAGCCUUCCAGCUCGAUCUCAAAUUCCUGAAGUCCCAAGAAAGAAGGAAAGUCUCAUGAGCAGACAGGUCCAGUGGCUUCCCUGCUGCCCCACGAGGACCCAUGCCUCGAGACCCUCUCCGCUUUAGUCCUGUGACGAAGACCCUCAGAAGUUACUUCCCUGUGAGCACCCCAAUGUGGCCCAGUCUGGAUGCUUCUGGAAGCUCUGAAUGCCUCUAACAUCUGAUCCAAACUCCCUAAGCCAGAAUGUCAAAGGACAGUCCCCACACCACCUACAUCAGAAGCGCAGAGGUGCUGGUUACAAGUGCAGAUAUUCUAUGGACUUUGGGUGAUAAUGAUGUGUCAGUGUAGGAUCACUGAUUAGUGGGGGAGGCUGUGCAUGUUUGGGGACAGCGGGUAUGUGGGAAAUCUCUGUCCUUUCUGCUCUGGACCUAAAGCUGCUCUAAAAAGUCAGUCUAUUUGAAAGGGGGGAAAAAAAAUCGACCCAGGGAGGUGAUAACAGGAGAGAGGAAAGAACUGUUCCUGUAGGCUUUUGAGGAGUCUGCUGUGGGAUGUGUGGUGUUAACUUUCUCCUCCAUCACCCCAGGAUAUCUUCAGUAAAUUCUGCAUUUCACACCAGUGCUGUUGCAGGCACAGGUUUGUGGUGGGUAAAUGGGAAGAGGGUGACAGAAAAGAAAAAAGGAGAGAUUUCUGAGCCCGCAUUGGGGUGGGGAGGGCGCAUAUGCCAGGAACAUGCAACACCCCUGGACGAUCCAGAUGCACACGCAGGCCGGCUACCAGGGGACCUGCUGGUCUGGAACCCUCCAUGCCUUGGUUCCUUGAGCCUCCACAGCCGGCUCUCACCGGAACUCUUUGUGCUGUGUCCAGGCCCCCUCCCUCACUGCCCCUGUCAGUCACGGCCCUCUUGCUCCCUGCAAAGCCUUUGGUGGCUCCGUCUGGCUGUGCUGCUCCCUUGCCGUGGCAGCCCCCAACCUUUCUGCAGGGAUGCCAAGGGCUAUCAUGCCCGGGCAAUCCUAUGGGCUCCCCGUGCCCCAGUCCUACUAUGCAUCGAGUCUGAUGAUCAGAGUAGGGCACACCAAGAAAGGCGAGCUGGGCGCUCACAACCCACACGACUCGAGGUGGACCAGGCAGCCAGGUGGGACUUAGCUGCUGCAUAUGCAGGGGGGUGGGAGGUAUGCCCCAACCCAUAUCUUCAAGCAAUGGGCCUUUGAGGGCCACAGCUGCUCCAGAGACUGGGAAAUGGCAUUCUCACAGAUCUGGGGACUUCAUCAAUAUUGGCCACUCUGUAACCAUUCCCGUACUCCCAAAGGCUCAAGGCAAGAUGGUAAGCGAGUUAACGCAACAGCUCUCCGAGGGGAAGGAGAACAGAGCAGCAACCUAUACAAACCCAACACCCGGGGACAGGCAAAUCAGGUCCCUACGCCGGCCCUGGCUGGCAGAGCCCAGGCUUCCAGAAACCAAGAGGAUCACAGGGCUCAUUCCAACUUCUGAGGAAAAACACUAUGGAAACUUACCAAGUAAACAUUAAGCAAUAACAAAGGCAGCACAAAAAGCCCUUUUAAGUUCCUUUUUCCAAAAGCUUCUCCAGCAAAAUAGGCUGUUUCUUUGUGAUUGGGGGGGUGGUGGAUUCUCAGGAACAGAGAUAAAAUCUCUUGGACUAGCCCCCCUCCUCCCAGGAGAUUCCCGGCAUGCUGGUGGAAUGCUGGCGGCAGCGCCUGUGCGGGGGAGGGGGGUGGGCGCGGAGGGGGUAAGCCACCAGGGAGCCCUAGGGGUAGAGUGCGGGGGGGGGGGCGGUUUCAGACUCUCCCC